UUGAAGGAAGAAAAGCUACUUUCAUUGAUCUGCUAGAAUAUGUGUAUCUAACCCUUUCUCUAAACCCUUAAGGACAAUUUAUUAUUUUUCAGUUUCAUGGUGAUUACUGUAAAUAUUGGUUUCUGAUGAAGCGGAUAACAAAAACACACAGAAGGAUCCAUUUCACAUAAAUUUAUAUAGUCACCAAACAUUGGUUCUCAUUAUUUAUGAAUUGUGAUUUAUGCAUAUAAAUUAUGUUCGCACAAAUAUGUAAUAAAC
rnacentral:misc_RNA from 1 species